UGACUGACCGAUAGUGAACCAGUACCGUGAGGGAAAGGCGAAAAGAACCCCGGCGAGGGGAGUGAAAAAGAACCUGAAACCGUGUACGUACAAGCAGUGGGAGCACCCUUUGGGGUGUGACUGCGUACCUUUUGUAUAAUGGGUCAGCGACUUAUAUUCUGUAGCAAGGUUAACCGUAUAGGGGAGCCGGAGGGAAACCGAGUCUUAAUUGGGCGUUAAGUUGCAGGGUAUAGACCCGAAACCCGGUGAUCUAGCCAUGGGCAGGUUGAAGGUUGGGUAACACUAACUGGAGGACCGAACCGACUAAUGUUGAAAAAUUAGCGGAUGACCUGUGGCUGGGGGUGAAAGGCCAA
rnacentral:rRNA from 2 species